UACGUAGGGGCUAGCGUUGUCCGGAAUCAUUGGGCGUAAAGCGCGUGUAGGCGGCCCGGUAAGUCCGCUGUGAAAGUCGGGGCUCAACCCUCGGAUGCCGGUGGAUACUGGCAAUCUCGAGUCCGGAAGAGGUGAGUGGAAUCCUAGUGUAGAGGUGAAAUUCGUAGAUAUUAGGAAGAACACCAGUGGCGAAGGCGGCUCACUGGUCCGGUACUGACGCUGAGGUGCGAAAGCGUGGGAGCAACAGG
rnacentral:rRNA from 1 species